GCAUAGGCGCAUGCGCAGCCUAGGCGAGGGUCGCCUCCGCACCAAAAUGGCGGCUCUCAGCCGCGCCCUCCUGCUUUGCUUCCCGUUGGGGUUCUGGGGCCGGCGGGCAGGGCGUUAGCGGGUGGCCUGAUGCCUUCAUAAUGUUUGGGGACUUGUUUGAAGAGGACUUUCCCUACAUCCCAGAGAAUCACAUCAAGAAAGGGACGAAAUCCAAGUGCGUGGACCCAGAGCCGCCACCCCCCCCCCCCGGGGCAUCACCAACCUGAGUGGCAUCCAGAACCAGGGCGGGACUUGCUACCUCAACUCUCUGCUGCAGACUCUCCAUUUCACCCCAGAAUUCCGAAGUAGGCACCUUACAGAUACCUUCAUUCAUGCGCUUCCGUGCACCUAGAAACUUAGACAAGUGGACCAUCAGAGAAGCAUCUGGCCGCCAGUCCUGCCCAGGUGGCCUUGGGAAGGCCUCUCAUCUCCCUUGGUCCUGGGGGAUGGGUGCAAGUGUCUGUGAGGCCCCUGCUCCCAAGGACCAUGUCUGCAUUUUUGGUGGUCUCUGCUGGGGCAGAGUAACCGUCCUGUGUCAUUGAGCGUUUUAUUUUUGAAAAAGUGUCUCCUUGCCACGCCAAGUCUGUGGAUGAGGAGAUCUCUCUUCCCCUCUUUAACCGCUGCAACCUGAUGGAUGGAACAGCCCAGGCCUUGAAGGGGUAGGUGCCUGGUACAAGCAGACCCCAGACCUGCCCUGGCCAUUCCCCACUAAGAGGACAUCCUCUUAAUUUCCCGUUUGGGGCUACCAUGAAAAGGACUGCUCUGAAGAUUUUUGUAGGAACCGCCAACCAGGACCACAAUACAGAUCCAAGGAGAGCACAGGAAGAAAAUCUGGCUUUGCGCCCACAAAACGUUCCUCUCUGAUCCACUGCUAGAUUCCUCCCACCAUGUGAGCCAGGGACUCGAGAGACAGCUGACACAAGCAGCCUCAGGAGCUUCCUGCUAUUGCUCCUGCCAGCUUGAACCACCUCCUCCACUACCAGAACUGGCAGCUGGACAGUUCUGAAAUUGAUCCCACAGUUUCCCCCUAACCUGCUGUUUGGUGUUUGUGGGUUGAGAAGUCUGUAAAUGCCACAGCUCACUGUUUCAUGGCCCCAAGGCCUCUUCAGGCUGGCUGACUCCAGGUCUGUUCUGUCCCAGAGUGGCCCACGCUGGGCUGCCCUCCCUCUCAGCAGUGUGCGAUAGACCAUUCCCUGCAACCAUCCAGGCUCUUGUGGGCUGGAGACCUGUUUCCCUCUGCUAUUUUGUGGGUUCCACGCUUCUGGAAUUUGUUCAGAGCCAUUUUUACAGGUGUUUGGAGGGAUUUGGGGGAGAGCUUAUGCAAGCCCCUGCUUUCCAGAUGCUAUCUUGGCUCUGCCCCCUUUCUUUCUUUUUUUUCUAUAAGUAUCUUGUGAAUGUGCUCUAUCUACUAGAGGGCUAUAAGUUUCUUGAGGUCAGGGACUCUCUCAUUUUUGUACUAUUAUCUUGAGUGCCCAAUAAAGUAUUGGGCUUGUACUUCACACUGGGGAAAAAAAAUCUUGAUUAAUUGAGAGGCUCAAAAGAAAGGGAGUCCAUUUGCUUUCAUACCCACCAAAGACAACGGAUUUUUAUAAACACAGUUUAUGCCCCCAAUGAAAACCAUGUUGGGCAUGACUGGCUUGGGAUACUCUUUUCAACAGCCAAAUUCAUCUAUAGCUCAGAAGUUCCACAAUGGUCACCACUUUGUUAAGGAGUUCAGAAGCAAGACGCUUAUAUAGAGAAUAGACAAAGUCACAGAGGAAGGCCUGGGCUGCAGUGAGCAACAUGUUUUUCAUGCUCUGCCCAAAAGUCAUCUGAUCUGUGUUGCCAGAGAAGCUUCUUGGGAUAUAAGAGGAAGGAUUGGGGCACCUAGUGCUGACCAAGUCAAGACUACAUGGCAUUCUGGGCCCAAAGUAGGCAUCAGGCAAAUAGAGGUACAGGGCUACCAUUGGGCCACAGGGAAGGAAUGGAUUAGUGAAGACAGCAUCAAAGGCCGUGUCUUCAAGGCGGGUCAUCCACUCCUUAUUGUAGACCAAGUGGGAACAGGCAGUAAAAAUCCAAGCUAUUUUUCAUCCUCUCUAUUGUUCUAAAAACUCUCCCAGACAGUAAACUUCUGGAAGGGAUCAUUUUUAAUCCAUUGAAAGCUGGCCUCCACAUCCUCCUUCUGCAAGGGCACUGGAUGCCAUCUGAGCUCAUAAAAUGUGGCUGCUUGGAUAAGAGCAGUCACUUCAGGGGCAACUACCACAAUUUCAUGUCCUCUGACCCACAGCUCCUGAAGGGCCCCAUUCAUACUGAGCCAGUGGCUGCCAUCCACUGGAAUCACCAGCAAAUUUUCCCCCUCUGUCAUCCCCAAGCAGAGUACCCAAAGAAAGAGUCCCUGAGUACUUGAAUAUUGAGCAGUCAUCUCUCCCUCAGUUUGCCAUUUGCUACAAGCUACUUCUGUCUAGAUCAAAGAGCUUUGAACUGUAAUUCUCUGUCUUCUUACCUCCAACUGAUCUACAGAUCAGCAAGUUAGUUAACUAGCAAGUUAAUAUUUAGCCCAACCCCAUGACUGCCCUCAUUGAUAAAAGAUAAACUGCAAAGAACAAGGCAUUUACUUUUAAAAGCCAGAGUGGUAAUGGUCCUGGGCAUUCUAAGUGCCAACUCACGUCAGACUAGCCAAAGACGGCUGCCAUGCUGCACCACAGAUUUCUACCCCCACACUGCCAUAGAUUCUCUCAAUGUAUGAUCUUAUCCAUGUAGACAUUCUUCCCCAGUAAUAGUGAUCACAACACAUUCACACACUGACAUUACAAACUCUUCUUGCUGUAUGGUUCUUUGAAUGUCCCGGGUACUCAAUAAACCUUUUCUGAUCCCCCCA